rnacentral:lncRNA from 1 species
AAAGUCCUUAAUAAAUUUCACCCAAGAACAUCUAUUACAAAAAAUAGGAAUUAAGACCAAACAGAAAAUAAGCAAAUAAAUGACAUGAAACAGCAAAUCUGCACAUAGGUCUCUUGCAUGUGGCCCACCUCGUCCUUGGAGGAGGAGCUGUUGGUGGACGCAACCUGUGUCAGAUUGCCGUCGAGCUCGGCCCGUCGACGUGGAAGUACAUCAUGAACUUAGCCGUUGUGCUAAACUUCCUCCCAUAAGCUGAUAGAAGGAUUCAUGUGAUACUGUAUGUUCAACAAAUGUCUACUAAAUUUGAGCAUAACUAAUCUCCCAAAUAAACUCGUCACAAAUCCAGCUUCUUUGCAUAC